rnacentral:piRNA from 1 species
GAUGGGACUACCCUUCAUUCGGGCCAUG